rnacentral:rRNA from 2 species
CCUGUAAGACUGGGAUAACUCCGGGAAACCGGAGCUAAUACCGGAUAGUUCCUUGAACCGCAUGGUUCAAGGAUGAAAGACGGUUUCGGCUGUCACUUACAGAUGGACCCGCGGCGCAUUAGCUAGUUGGUGAGGUAACGGCUCACCAAGGCGACGAUGCGUAGCCGACCUGAGAGGGUGAUCGGCCACACUGGGACUGAGACACGGCCCAGACUCCUACGGGAGGCAGCAGUAGGGAAUCUUCCGCAAUGGACGAAAGUCUGACGGAGCAACGCCGCGUGAGUGAUGAAGGUUUUCGGAUCGUAAAGCUCUGUUGUUAGGGAAGAACAAGUGCAAGAGUAACUGCUUGCACCUUGACGGUACCUAACCAGAAAGCCACGGCUAACUACGUGCCAGCAGCCGCGGUAAUACGUAGGUGGCAAGCGUUGUCCGGAAUUAUUGGGCGUAAAGGGCUCGCAGGCGGUUUCUUAAGUCUGAUGUGAAAGCCCCCGGCUCAACCGGGGAGGGUCAUUGGAAACUGGGAAACUUGAGUGCAGAAGAGGAGAGUGGAAUUCCACGUGUAGCGGUGAAAUGCGUAGAGAUGUGGAGGAACACCAGUGGCGAAGGCGACUCUCUGGUCUGUAACUGACGCUGAGGAGCGAAAGCGUGGGGAGCGAACAGGAUUAGAUACCCUGGUAGUCCACGCCGUAAACGAUGAGUGCUAAGUGUUAGGGGGUUUCCGCCCCUUAGUGCUGCAGCUAACGCAUUAAGCACUCCGCCUGGGGAGUACGGUCGCAAGACUGAAACUCAAAGGAAUUGACGGGGGCCCGCACAAGCGGUGGAGCAUGUGGUUUAAUUCGAAGCAACGCGAAGAACCUUACCAGGUCUUGACAUCCUCUGACAACCCUAGAGAUAGGGCUUUCCCUUCGGGGACAGAGUGACAGGUGGUGCAUGGUUGUCGUCAGCUCGUGUCGUGAGAUGUUGGGUUAAGUCCCGCAACGAGCGCAACCCUUGAUCUUAGUUGCCAGCAUUCAGUUGGGCACUCUAAGGUGACUGCCGGUGACAAACCGGAGGAAGGUGGGGAUGACGUCAAAUCAUCAUGCCCCUUAUGACCUGGGCUACAC